rnacentral:rRNA from 1 species
UAGGGAAUUUUCCGCAAUGGGCGAAAGCCUGACGGAGCAACGCCGCGUGAGUGAUGAAGGUCUUCGGAUCGUAAAACUCUGUUAUUAGGGAAGAACAAAUGUGUAAGUAACUAUGCACGUCUUGACGGUACCUAAUCAGAAAGCCACGGCUAACUACGUGCCAGCAGCCGCGGUAAUACGUAGGUGGCAAGCGUUAUCCGGAAUUAUUGGGCGUAAAGCGCGCGUAGGCGGUUUUUUAAGUCUGAUGUGAAAGCCCACGGCUCAACCGUGGGGGGUCAUUGGAAACUGGAAAACUUGAGUGCAGAGGAGGAAAGUGGAAUUCCAUGUGUAGCGGUGAAAUGCGCAGAGAUAUGGAGGAACACCAGUGGCGAAGGCGACUUUCUGGUCUGUAACUGACGCUGAUGUGCGAAAGCGUGGGGAUCAAACAGG